AGGGAAGAAGCUAGAAGAUGUUCUGCAAGAGAUUGAAAGAGAAAGAGAAAGAGCGAAAGUUAAAUCUUGGAAACCUUCUUUGGAGAGCAUCUUGGAGACCCCUGAAGGGCUCGAGAUGGAAAGAUCUUGAGUCUUCUCUCUUAACAGGAACCACAGUACUACUCUCUGCUUCAUGCUGCCUUUCUUUAGUGCUCUUUCUAAUGAGGUUUUUCAUUUGGGUUAUCAUUAACCCAAAUAUAUAUAUAUUAUUUCCUCUUUUCUUUUCUUUUGUAUAUGGAGAGUCCUGAGGU
rnacentral:misc_RNA from 1 species